GCCGAUGUAGCUCAACGGUAGAGCAGCUGAUUUGUAAUCAGCAGGUUAGGAGUUCGAGUCUCCUCAUCGGCU
rnacentral:tRNA from 1 species